GCUGUAGCUCAGUGACAGAACACGUGCUUUGCAUGCAGGAGGUCCCAGGUUCUAUCCAUGGUAUCUACA